rnacentral:rRNA from 1 species
CCUACGGGAGGCAGCAGUAGGGAAUUUUCGUCAAUGGGCGCAAGCCUGAACGAGCACUGCCGCGUGAACGAGGAAGGUCUUCGGAUCGUAAAGUUCUGUUGAAGGGGAAAAAGAGCGGAGAGAGGAAAUGUUCUCCGAUUGAUAUUACCCUUCAGGGAAGUCCCGGCUAACUACGUGCCAGCAGCCGCGGUAAUACGUAGGUGGCGAGCGUUAUCCGGAAUGAUUGGGCGUAAAGGGUGCGUAGGCGGCCUGCUAAGUCUGGAGUAAAAGGUACCGGAUCAACCGGUACAGGCUCUGGAAACUGGCGGGCUAGAGAGCAGGAGAGGGCGGUGGAACUCCAUGUGUAGCGGUAAAAUGCGUAGAUAUAUGGAAGAACACCAGUGGCGAAGGCGGCCGCCUGGCCUGUUACUGACGCUGAGGCACGAAAGCGUGGGGAGCAAAUAGGAUUAGAUACCCUAGUAGUC